ACUUGGAAAACGAGCACAUGUGAUACUGGGAAGCAGCCGUCUAUUCCUACUGUUCUACCCAUGUGGAUGUUCCUGUGAAUGGUCAUUGCUUGUGGUAAAUGCUGAGUUCAUGCGCAUAACAACAUUUCCAUUGGAA